AGCGGCGGACGGGUGAGUAACGCGUAGGAAUCUACCUAGUAGAAGGGGAUAGCCCGGGGAAACCCGGAUUAAUACCGUAUACCUCCUUCGGGAGAAAGAAGGCCUCUCUUUGAAGCUUUCGCUAUUAGAUGAGCCUGCGUAAGAUUAGCUUGUUGGUGAGGUAAAGGCUCACCAAGGCGACGAUCUUCAGCUGGUCUGAGAGGACGAUCAGCCACAUUGGGACUGAGACACGGCCCAGACUCCUACGGGAGGCAGCAGUGGGGAAUAUUGGACAAUGGGCGCAAGCCUGAUCCAGCCAUACCGCGUGUGUGAAGAAGGCCUUCGGGUUGUAAAGCACUUUAAGCAGGGAGAAAAAGUUAUAAGUUAAUACCUUAUAACCGUGAUGUUACCUGCAGAAUAAGCACCGGCUAAUUCCGUGCCAGCAGCCGCGGUAAUACGGAAGGUGCAAGCGUUAAUCGGAAUUACUGGGCGUAAAGCGCGCGUAGGUGGUUUGUUAAGUUGGAUGUGAAAGCCCUGGGCUCAACCUAGGAACUGCAUCCAGAACUAACUCACUAGAGUACGAUAGAGGGAGGUAGAAUUCAUAGUGUAGCGGUGGAAUGCGUAGAUAUUAUGAAGAAUACCAGUGGCGAAGGCGGCCUCCUGGAUCUGUACUGACACUGAGGUGCGAAAGCGUGGGUAGCGAACAGGAUUAGAUACCCUGGUAGUCCACGCCGUAAACGAUGACAACUAGCUGUUGGAAGACAAAGUCUUUCAGUGGCGCAGCUAACGUUUUAAGUUGUCCGCCUGGGGAGUAC
rnacentral:rRNA from 1 species